UUCCGUUGAUCCUGCGGAAGAUUGCUGCUAUUAAGGUUCGACUAAGCCAUGCAAGUUUGCUCUUCUUCGGGAGGGCGGCAAACUGCUCAGUAACACGUCAAUAAUCUAACCUUGGGUCUAGUAUAACCUCGGGAAACUGAGGCUAAAACUGGAUAAGAUAUUUGUACUGGAAUGUCUUUUAUCUGAAAAGUAAUGCCCAAGGAUGAGUUGGCGGCGGAUUAGGUUGUUGGUGGGGUAAAGGCCCACCAAGCCGAAGAUCCGUAGGGGCCUUGAGAGAGGUAGCCCCGAGAAGGACACUGAGAUACUGGUCCUAGCCCUACGGGGUGCAGCAGGCGCGAAACCUUUACAAUGCACGAAAGUGUGAUAAGGGAACCUUGAGUGCUUUGCUUUUAGCAAGGCUUUUGCCAAGAGUAAAUAUCUUGGCGAAUAAGUGGUGGGAAAGACUGGUGCCAGCAGCCGCAGUAACACCAGCGCCACGAGUGGCAGUCACGAUUAUUGGGUCUAAAGCGUCCGUAGCCGGUUUGAUAAGUCUUUUGUGAAAUUGUUGUCCUAAAUGCAACAGCGUGCAAAAGAUACUGUCAAACUUGGAACUGGGAGGAGUAAGGAGUAUUUUAAGGGGAGCGGUAAAAUGCUAUAAUCCUUAGAAGACUACCUGUGGCGAAAGCGCCUUACUAGAACAGCUUCGACGGUGAGGGACGAAAGCCAGGGGAGCGAACCGGAUUAGAUACCCGAGUAGUCCUGGCCAUAAACGCUGUGAGCAAGAUGCUGCAUAUUCUUCGUGAAUGUGCAGUGUCGAAGAGAAGUCGUUAAGCUCACCACCUGGGAAGUAUGGUCGCAAGGCUGAAACUUAAAGGAAUUGGCGGGGGAGCACCACAAGGGGUGCGGCGUGCGGUUUAAUCUAAUUCAACACAGAGAAUCUCACCAGCAGCGACGGCAGGAUGAAGAUCAGUCUGAAGGGCUUAUCUAACGAGCCGAGAGGUAGUGCAUGGCCGUCGUCAGCUCGUGCUGUAAAGUGUCCUGUUAAGUCAGGCAACGAGCAAGACCUGUGCCUACAAUUGCUAACGACUCUUUUUGGAGAAUCGAGCACAUUGUAGGGACUGCCUUCGAAAGGAGGAGGAAGGUGCAGGCUACGAUAGGUCUGUAUGCUCCGAAUCUGCUGGGCUACACGCGCGCAACAAUGGUAAGGACAGAAGGAUGCGACUCUGAAAAGAGAAGCUAAUCCCCUAAACCUUAUCUUAGUCUAGAUUGAGGAUUGUAACUCAUCCUCAUGACACUGGAAUCCCUAGUAAUCAGAUGUUAUCAGCGUCUGGUGAAUAUGUCCCUGCUCCUUGCACACACUGCCCGUCAAACCACUCGAGCAGGGUUUGGGUGAGGCUUAGUUUUAAAUUGAGCCGAAUCUAAACUCAGUGAGAUGGGUUAAGUCGUCACAAGGUA
rnacentral:rRNA from 1 species